GGGAUGAUGGUGGAAUCGGCAGACACAACAGACUUAAAAUCUGUCGCCCGAGAGGGCAUCCGGGUUCGAGUCCCGGUCAUCCCA
rnacentral:tRNA from 1 species